GGUUUGAGGCUUAUGGAAAUCUGUACAUGGAGGAACCUGUGGGGUUUGAAAAUGGAAAUCCUUUGCUCGUUUAUAAUUUAGAGCACGUUGGGAAAGAUGAAUUCUAUUGACUACUCUAGUUGGUGAAAUGAAACCUGUUUCAGGCGAUGAGUGUUGAAAGCUUGUAAACAUGGAUACAUUCAAUGAUGAUAUAUUUGCUCAAAAGAGAAUGAUUAUCUUAAAGAUAUCCUCCAAAGUUAAAAAUUGAUCAACACAAAAUGAUAUCUUAAUAACAAUAAUCUAGAUGUUAAGGAUCUGUUAACAAAGAUUAGGAUAU
rnacentral:lncRNA from 1 species